UACGUAGGGUGCGAGCGUUGUCCGGAAUUACUGGGCGUAAAGAGCUCGUAGGUGGUUUGUCGCGUUGUUCGUGAAAACUCACAGCUCAACUGUGGGCGUGCGGGCGAUACGGGCAGACUGGAGUACUGCAGGGGAGACUGGAAUUCCUGGUGUAGCGGUGGAAUGCGCAGAUAUCAGGAGGAACAUCAGUGGCGAAAGCGGCUUCCUGGACCAGCACCGACGUUCAGGCACGAAAGCGUGGGGAGCAAACAGG
rnacentral:rRNA from 1 species